rnacentral:tRNA from 2 species
GGAAGCGUAGUUCAAUGGUAAAACAUCUCCUUGCCAAGGAGAAGAUACAUGUUCGAUUCCUAAAGCUUUCC